rnacentral:rRNA from 1 species
UUUACUCGAGAGUUUGAUCCUGGCUCAGGAUGAACGCUGGCGGCGUGCUUAACACAUGCAAGUCGAACGGUGAAGCCAAGCUUGCUUGGUGGAUCAGUGGCGAACGGGUGAGUAACACGUGAGCAACCUGCCCUGAACUCUGGGAUAAGCGCUGGAAACGGCGUCUAAUACUGGAUAUGAGCUGCGGAGGCAUCUUCGUGGUUGGAAAGAUUUUUCGGUUUGGGAUGGGCUCGCGGCCUAUCAGCUUGUUGGUGAGGUAAUGGCUCACCAAGGCGUCGACGGGUAGCCGGCCUGAGAGGGUGACCGGCCACACUGGGACUGAGACACGGCCCAGACUCCUACGGGAGGCAGCAGUGGGGAAUAUUGCACAAUGGGCGGAAGCCUGAUGCAGCAACGCCGCGUGAGGGAUGACGGCCUUCGGGUUGUAAACCUCUUUUAGCAGGGAAGAAGCGAAAGUGACGGUACCUGCAGAAAAAGCGCCGGCUAACUACGUGCCAGCAGCCGCGGUAAUACGUAGGGCGCAAGCGUUAUCCGGAAUUAUUGGGCGUAAAGAGCUCGUAGGCGGUUUGUCGCGUCUGCUGUGAAAUCUGGGGGCUCAACCCCCAGCCUGCAGUGGGUACGGGCAGACUAGAGUGCGGUAGGGGAGAUUGGAAUUCCUGGUGUAGCGGUGGAAUGCGCAGAUAUCAGGAGGAACACCGAUGGCGAAGGCAGAUCUCUGGGCCGUAACUGACGCUGAGGAGCGAAAGGGUGGGGAGCAAACAGGCUUAGAUACCCUGGUAGUCCACCCCGUAAACGUUGGGAACUAGUUGUGGGGUCCAUUCCACGGAUUCCGUGACGCAGCUAACGCAUUAAGUUCCCCGCCUGGGGAGUACGGCCGCAAGGCUAAAACUCAAAGGAAUUGACGGGGACCCGCACAAGCGGCGGAGCAUGCGGAUUAAUUCGAUGCAACGCGAAGAACCUUACCAAGGCUUGACAUACACGAGAACGCUGCAGAAAUGUAGAACUCUUUGGACACUCGUGAACAGGUGGUGCAUGGUUGUCGUCAGCUCGUGUCGUGAGAUGUUGGGUUAAGUCCCGCAACGAGCGCAACCCUCGUUCUAUGUUGCCAGCACGUAAUGGUGGGAACUCAUGGGAUACUGCCGGGGUCAACUCGGAGGAAGGUGGGGAUGACGUCAAAUCAUCAUGCCCCUUAUGUCUUGGGCUUCACGCAUGCUACAAUGGCCGGUACAAAGGGCUGCAAUACCGCGAGGUGGAGCGAAUCCCAAAAAGCCGGUCCCAGUUCGGAUUGAGGUCUGCAACUCGACCUCAUGAAGUCGGAGUCGCUAGUAAUCGCAGAUCAGCAACGCUGCGGUGAAUACGUUCCCGGGUCUUGUACACACCGCCCGUCAAGUCAUGAAAGUCGGUAACACCUGAAGCCGGUGGCCCAACCCUUGUGGAGGGAGCCGUCGAAGGUGGGAUCGGUAAUUAGGACUAAGUCGUAACAAGGUAGCCGUACCGGAACCUGCGGCUGGAUCACCUCC